CCGGCACUUUUAUAUGCAAUAAGCUAGAAUAUUAAUUUUUAAAAAUAAUUAUUAUUACGGUCAAAGAUUUAUAGCUCGACAUAUGAGGUAUUAUCUAUUUUGACCCAUAGAUCUCAUGAUUUUGUCUUUUAAAAGACGGCUUACGUGGGAAAGAUAAUCCUUUCUUAUAUAAGUCAGAGUUUUUUUUGACUCACAACUAAUAUGGAAC
rnacentral:lncRNA from 1 species